AGCCACCGGAAACGGUGAUUAAUACCGGAUAUGACAUACUGGCGCAUGUUGGUGUGUGGAAACUUUUUGGGUAGGGGAUGUGCUCGCGGCCUAUCAGCUUGAUGGUGGGGUAAUGGCCUACCAUGGCUUCGACGGGUAGCCGGCCUGAGAGGGUGACCGGUCACACUGGGACUGAGACACGGCCCAGACUCCUACGGGAGGCAGCAGUGGGGAAUAUUGGACAAUGGACGGAAGCCUGAUCCAGCAACGCCGCGUGAGGGAUGACGGCCUUCGGGUUGUAAACCUCUUUCAUCACAGACGAAGCCUUUGGGUGACGGUAUGUGGAGAAGAAGCACCGGCCAACUACGUGCCAGCAGCCGCGGUAAUACGUAGGGUGCGAGCGUUGUCCGGAAUUAUUGGGCGUAAAGGGCUCGUAGGCGGUUUGUCGCGUCGGGAGUGAAAUCCAUGGGCUUAACUUAUGGCUUGCUUUCGAUACGG
rnacentral:rRNA from 1 species